UUUUUUUUUUUAAAAAAAAAAAAAAAACCGGGCCCCCCCCCCCGGGUUUUUUUAAGAAAUUUUUUUAAAAAUUUUUUUAAAAAAAAUUUUUUUUUUUUGGGGGGGGGGGGUUUUUUUUUUAAAUUUGGGGGCCCCCCUUUUUCCCCCCCCCCCA